GUUGCAGGGUAUAGACCCGAAACCCGGUGAUCUAGCCAUGGGCAGGUUGAAGGUUGGGUAACACUAACUGGAGGACCGAACCGACUAAUGUUGAAAAAUUAGCGGAUGACCUGUGGCUGGGGGUGAAAGGCCAAUCAAACCGGGAGAUAGCUGGUUCUCCCCGAAAGCUAUUUAGGUAGCGCCUCGUGAAUUCAUCUCCGGGGGUAGAGCACUGUUUCGGCUAGGGGGCCAUCCCGGCUUACCAACCCGAUGCAAACUGCGAAUACCGGAGAAUGUUAUCACGGGAGACACACGGCGGGUGCUAACGUCCGUCGUGAAGAGGGAAACAACCCAGACCGCCAGCUAAGGUCCCAAAGUCAUGGUUAAGUGGGAAACGAUGUGGGAAGGCCCAGACAGCCAGGAUGUUGGCUUAGAAGCAGCCAUCAUUUAAAGAAAGCGUAAUAGCUCACUGGUCGAGUCGGCCUGCGCGGAAGAUGUAACGGGGCUAAACCAUGCACCGAAGCUGCGGCAGCGAACGUAUCACCCAAGACAACUUUACGGAGUUGACGAUUGACGGAGCGAAGCGACGUCAAAGCGUUCAUUAAAGUCGAGUUGGCUUAGGGAUACGUUCGUUGGGUAGGGGAGCGUUCUGUAAGCCUGUGAAGGUGUGUCGUGAGGCAUGCUGGAGGUAUCAGAAGUGCGAAUGCUGACAUAAGUAACGAUAAAGCGGGUGAAAAGCCCGCUCGCCGGAAGACCAAGGGUUCCUGUCCAACGUUAAUCGGGGCAGGGUGAGUCGACCCCUAAGGCGAGGCCGAAAGGCGUAGUCGAUGGGAAACGGGUUAAUAUUCCCGUACUUGGUGUUACUGCGAAGGGGGGACGGAGAAGGCUAUGUUGGCCGGGCGACGGUUGUCCCGGUUUAAGCGUGUAGGUGUGUGUUCCAGGUAAAUCCGGUUCACUUUAACACUGAGGCGUGACGACGAGGCA
rnacentral:rRNA from 1 species